UCGGGAAUUUUGGGCAAUGGGCGAAAGCCUGACCCAGCAACGCCGCGUGAGGGGUGAAGUAUUUCGGUAUGUAAACCUCGAAAGAAUGGGAAGAAUAAAUGACGGUACCAUUUAUAAGCUCCGGCUAACUACGUGCCAGCAGCCGCGGUAAUACGUAGGGAGCAAGCGUUGUUCGGUUUUACUGGGCGGAAAGGGCGCGUAGGCGGCGCGGUAAGUCACUUGUGAAAUCUCUGAGCUUAACUCAGAACGGCCAAGUGAUACUGCUGUGCUAGAGUGCGGAAGAGGCAACCGGAAUUCUUGGUGUAGUGGUGAAAUGCGUAGAUAUCAAGAGGAACACCUGAGGCGAAGGCGGGUUGCUGGGCCGACACUGACGCUGAUGCGCGAAAGCCAGGGGAGCAAACG
rnacentral:rRNA from 1 species